AUUGAACGCUGGCGGCAUGCCUUACACAUGCAAGUCGAACGGUAACAGGUCUUCGGAUGCUGACGAGUGGCGAACGGGUGAGUAAUAUAUCGGAACGUGCCCAGUCGUGGGGGAUAACGCAGCGAAAGCUGUGCUAAUACCGCAUACGAUCUAUGGAUGAAAGCGGGGGAUCGCAAGACCUCGCGCGAUUGGAGCGGCCGAUAUCAGAUUAGGUAGUUGGUGGGUAAAGGCCUACCAAGCCGACGAUCUGUAGCUGGUCUGAGAGGACGACCAGCCACACUGGGACUGAGACACGGCCCAGACUCCUACGGGAGGCAGCAGUGGGGAAUUUUGGACAAUGGGCGCAAGCCUGAUCCAGCCAUGCCGCGUGCGGGAAGAAGGGCCUUCGGGUUGUAAACCGCUUUUGUCUAGGGAAGAAAGUCUUCUGGGUUAAUACCUCGGGAGGAUGACGGUACCUGAAGAAUAAGCACGGCUAACUACGUGCCAGCAGCCGAC
rnacentral:rRNA from 1 species